GAUGAACGCUGGCGGCGUGCCUAAUACAUGCAAGUCGAGCGAACGGACGAGAAGCUUGCUUCUCUGAUGUUAGCGGCGGACGGGUGAGUAACACGUGGAUAACCUACCUAUAAGACUGGGAUAACUUCGGGAAACCGGAGCUAAUACCGGAUAAUAUUUUGAACCGCAUGGUUCAAAAGUGAAAGACUGUCUUGCUGUCACUUAUAGAUGGAUCCGCGCUGCAUUAGCUAGUUGGUAAGGUAACGGCUUACCAAGGCAACGAUGCAUAGCCGACCUGGGAGAGUGAUCGGCCACACUGGAACUGGAACACGGACCAGACUCCUACGGGAGGCAGCAGUAGGGAAUCUUCCGCAAUGGGCGAAAGCCUGACGGAGCAACGCCGCGUGAGUGAUGAAGGUCUUCGGAUCGUAAAACUCUGUUAUUAGGGAAGAACAUAUGUGUAAGUAACUGUGCACAUCUUGACGGUACCUAAUCAGAAAGCCACGGCUAACUACGUG
rnacentral:rRNA from 1 species